UGAUCGGAUCUUGUACAAUUUGACCACGCAGGUGGAUGUCCAAAUUGUACUGAUCCCAUCUCU
rnacentral:pre_miRNA from 1 species